rnacentral:rRNA from 1 species
UGACCUCGGAUCAGGUAGGAAUACCCGCUGAACUUAAGCAUAUCAAUAAGCGGAGGAAAAGAAACCAACAGGGAUUGCCCUAGUAACGGCGAGUGAAGCGGCAACAGCUCAAAUUUGAAAUCUGGCUACUUUGUAGUCCGAGUUGUAAUUUGUAGAGGAUGCUUUUGGUGAAGUGCUUUCUGAGUUCCCUGGAACGGGACGCCAGAGAGGGUGAGAGCCCCGUACAGUUAGCAACUGAUCCUUUGUAUAGCUCCUUCGACGAGUCGAGUAGUUUGGGAAUGCUGCUCUAAAUGGGAGGUAUAUCUCUUCUAAAGCUAAAUAUAGGCUAGAGACCGAUAGCGCACAAGUAGAGUGAUCGAAAGAUGAAAAGCACUUUGAAAAGAGAGUUAAACAGCACGUGAAAUUGUUGAAAGGGAAGCGCCUAUGACCAGACUUGUCUCUAUCAGUUUUGGUAGUUUUCGGACUGCUUUACUCUGUUAGUACAGGCCAACAUCAGUUUGUUGUCGGGGAGAAAGGCUUAGGGAAUGUGGCUCCCUCGGGAGUGUUAUAGACCUUUGCAUAAUACCCUUCGG